GGCGAACGGGUGAGUAACACGUGAGUAACCUGCCCUUGACUUUGGGAUAACUUCAGGAAACUGGGGCUAAUACCGGAUAGGAGCUCCUGCUGCAUGGUGGGGUUUGGAAAGUUUCGGCGGUUGGGGAUGGACUCGCGGCUUAUCAGCUUGUUGGUGGGGUAGUGGCUUACCAAGGCUUUGACGGGUAGCCGGCCUGAGAGGGUGACCGGCCACAUUGGGACUGAGAUACGGCCCAG
rnacentral:rRNA from 1 species